rnacentral:rRNA from 1 species
CCCUUAGAUGUUCUGGGCCGCACGCGCGCUACACUGAGUGGAUCAGCGGGUCAGGUUGCGCGAAAGCGUUUCCUAAUCUUUAAAUCCGCUCGUGAUGGGGAUUGACGGUUGCAAUUUUCUGUCAUGAACGAGGAAUACCUUGUAAGCGCGGGUCAUCAUCCCGCGCUGAAUACGUCCCUGCCCUUUGUACACACCGCCCGUCGCUCCUACCGAUUGAGUGGUCCGGUGAGGCUUUGGGAUCUGAGCGGAAAGAGCGUUUCGCUGUUUCUGCUCGGAAAACUCAGUCGAACCUUAUCAUUUAGAGGAAGGAGGAGUCGUAACA